rnacentral:rRNA from 1 species
CCGGACCUGACUGCUAUCGGAUUGGUACUAAGCCAUGCGAGUCGUUGUAGCAAUACAAGGCGGAUUGCUCAGUAACACGUAGUUAAUCUAACCUAUGGAUGGGCAUAACCUCGGGAAACUGAGAAUAAUACCCAAUAGACCACAGUGCCUGGAAUGGCCUGUGGUUCAAAUGAUUUAUCGCCGCAGGAUGGGACUGCGGCCUAUCAGCUAGUUGGUGAGGUAAUGGCCCACCAAGGCUAUAACAGGUACGGGCUCUGAGAGGAGGGGCCCGGAGAUGGGUACUGAGACACGGACCCAGGCCCUAUGGGGCGCAGCAGGCGAGAAACCUUUGCAAUGUGCGAAAGCACGACAAGGUUAAUCCGAGUGUCUCCCGCUAAGGGAGUCUUUUGUCAGUUCUAGAACCACUGGUGAAUAAGGGGUGGGCAAGUUCUGGUGUCAGCCGCCGCGGUAAAACCAGCACCUCGAGUGGUCAGGAGGUUUAUUGGGCCUAAAGCAUCCGUAGCCGGUUGCAUAAGUUUUCGGUUAAAUCUAUGCGCUUAACGUAUAGGCCGCCGAAAAUACUGUGCAGCUAGGGAGUGGGAGAGGUACACGGUACUCGAUAGGAAGGGGUAAAAUCCUUUGAUCUAUUGAUGACCACCAGUGGCGAAGGCGGCUUGCCAGAACGCGCUCGACGGUGAGGGAUGAAAGCUGGGGGAGCAAACCGGAUUAGAUACCCGGGUAGUCCCAGCUGUAAACGAUGCAGACUCGGUGAUGGGUUGGCUUCGAGCCAACCCAGUGCCGCAGGGAAGCCGUUAAGUCUGCCGCCUGGGGAGUACGGUCGCAAGACUUGAAACUUAAAGGAAUUGGCGGGGGGAGCACCACCAAGGGGUGAAGCCUGCGGUUCAAUUGGAGUCAACGCCGGAAAUCUUACCGGGAGCGACAGCAGAGUGAAGGUCGAGCUGAAGACUUUACCAGACAAGCUGAGAGGAGGUGCAUGGCCGUCGCCAGCUCGUGCCGUGAGGUGUCCUGUUAAGUCAGGUAACGAGCAAGAUCCCUGCCUCUAGUUGCUACUGCUGGUCUCAGGACUAGCAGGGCUAAUUAGAGGGACCGCCGCCGCUGAGGCGGAGGAAGGAGGGGGCUACGGCAGGUCAGUAUGCCCCGAAACUUCCGGGCCACACGCGGGCUGCAAUGGUAAGGACAACGGGCUCCGAUUCCGAAAGGAGGAGGCAAUCCCACAAACCUUACCUCAGUUAUGAUUGAGGGCUGAAACUCGCCCUCAUGAAUCUGGAAUCCCUAGUAACCGCGUGUCACUAUCGCGCGGUGAAUACGUCCCUGCUCCUUGCACACACCGCCCGUCGCUUCACCGAAGCUGGUUCUUGGCGAGGUGGCGCCUAAUUGGCGCUAUCGAACCUGGGGUCAGCAACGGGGGAG